rnacentral:ncRNA from 1 species
CAUAAUUCUUGUAUAAACCCAUUGAUACGGAAUGGGUGUUUCUACCAGACAGCCGUAAACUGUCAAAGUCUAUGAGGAGGCUAAUUU